UACAGAGGUCUCAAGCGUUGUUCGGAUUCAUUGGGCGUAAAGGGUGCGUAGGUGGCGCCGUAAGUCAGGUGUGAAAUCUUGGAGCUUAACUCCGAAACUGCAUUCGAUACUGCCGUGCUUGAGGACUGGAGAGGAGACUGGAAUUUACGGUGUAGCGGUGAAAUGCGUAGAUAUCAUAAGGAAGACCAGUGGCGAAGGCGGGUCUCUGGACAGUUCCUGACGCUGAGGCACGAAGGCCAGGGGAGCAAACGGG
rnacentral:rRNA from 1 species